GGGGUCUUAGCUCAGCUGGGAGAGCAUCUGCCUUACAAGCAGAGGGUCNNNUUCGAGCCCUGUAGGCCCCA
rnacentral:tRNA from 1 species